rnacentral:rRNA from 1 species
CAGUCGCCACGGUAAUACAGAGGGUGCGAGCGUUAAUCGGAAUUACUGGGCGUAAAGCGUGCGCAGGCGGUUUGUUAAGACAGAUGUGAAAUCCCCGGGCUCAACCUGGGAACUGCAUUUGUGACUGGCAGGCUAGAGUAUGGCAGAGGGGGGUGGAAUUCCGCGUGUAGCAGUGAAAUGCGUAGAUAUGCGGAGGAACACCGAUGGCGAAGGCAGCCCCCUGGGCCAAUACUGACGCUCAUGCACGAAAGCGUGGGGAGCAAACAGGAUUAGAUACACCAGUAGUCCCUGUCUCUUAUAC